CCGAAGUUAAGCGUGCUUGGGCGAGAGUAGUACUAGGAUGGGUGACCUCCUGGGAAGUCCUCGUGUUGCACUCCUGGG
rnacentral:rRNA from 2 species